AGGCACCGGCGAGUUCGAACUCGCGAUCUGCUGAUCACUAGAAUAACUGCGAAAAGAGAUCGCGAGAUCUCAAAAGCGGGGCUGCCCUGUAGAGUCAAUGAUCACUAGACUGGCGCUAUAACCAACUAAGCCACGGCUCC